rnacentral:rRNA from 1 species
AGCGAACGCUGGCGGCAGGCCUAACACAUGCAAGUCGAACGAAGUCUUCGGACUUAGUGGCGGACGGGUGAGUAACACGUGGGAACGUGCCUUUAGGUUCGGAAUAACUCAGGGAAACUUGUGCUAAUACCGAAUGUGCCCUUCGGGGGAAAGAUUUAUCGCCUUUAGAGCGGCCCGCGUCUGAUUAGCUAGUUGGUGAGGUAAAGGCUCACCAAGGCAACGAUCAGUAGCUGGUCUGAGAGGAUGAUCAGCCACAUUGGGACUGAGACACGGCCCAAACUCCUACGGGAGGCAGCAGUGGGGAAUCUUGCGCAACGGGCGAAAGCCUGACGCAGCCAUGCCGCGUGAAUGAUGAAGGUCUUAGGAUUGUAAAAUUCUUUCACCGGGGACGAUAAUGACGGUACCCGGAGAAGAAGCCCCGGCUAACUUCGUGCCAGCCGCCGCAGUAACAC